rnacentral:rRNA from 1 species
GAUGAACGCUGGCGGCAGGCCUAACACAUGCAAGUCGAACGGAUCCUUCGGGAUUAGUGGCGGACGGGUGAGUAACACGUGGGAACGUGCCCUUUGGUUCGGAACAACUCAGGGAAACUUGAGCUAAUACCGGAUGUGCCCUUCGGGGGAAAGAUUUAUCGCCAUUGGAGCGGCCCGCGUCUGAUUAGCUAGUUGGUGGGGUAAAGGCCCACCAAGGCGACGAUCAGUAGCUGGUCUGAGAGGAUGAUCAGCCACAUUGGGACUGAGACACGGCCCAAACUCCUACGGGAGGCAGCAGUGGGGAAUCUUGCGCAAUGGGCGAAAGCCUGACGCAGCCAUGCCGCGUGAAUGAUGAAGGUCUUAGGAUUGUAAAAUUCUUUCACCGGGGACGAUAAUGACGGUACCCGGAGAAGAAGCCCCGGCUAACUUCGUGCCAGCCGCCGCUGUAAUAC